rnacentral:sRNA from 1 species
UCAGCGUGCUAAUCCUACGGGCUAUGUC